rnacentral:rRNA from 1 species
UACAGAGGUCCCAAGCGUUGUUCGGAUUCAUUGGGCGUAAAGGGUGCGUAGGCGGACAGGUAAGUCAGUGGUGAAAUCUCUGGGCUUAACCCAGAAACUGCCGUUGAUACUAUUUGUCUUGAAUAUCCUGGAGGUAGGCGGAAUAUGUCAUGUAGCGGUGAAAUGCUUAGAUAUGACAUAGAACACCGAUAGCGAAGGCAGCUUACUACAGGAUGAUUGACGCUGAGGCACGAAAGCGUGGGGAGCAAACAGG